GAUGAACGCUGGCGGCGUGCUUAACACAUGCAAGUCGAACGAGAAAUGUAGACGGAAACCUUCGGGCGGAAGCCUUCAUUUCGAGUGGCGGACGGGUGAGUAACGCGUGGGUAACCUGCCUCAUACAGGGGGAUAACAGUUGGAAACGACUGUUAAUACCGCAUAAGACCACAGCAUCGCAUGAUGCGGGGGUAAAAACUCCGGUGGUAUGAGAUGGACCCGCGUUCGAUUAGCCAGUUGGCGGGGUAACGGCCCACCAAAGCGACGAUCGAUAGCCGAUCUGAGAGGAUGACCGGCCACAUUGGGACUGAGACACGGCCCAAACUCCUACGGGAGGCAGCAGUGGGGAAUAUUGCACAAUGGGGAAAACCCUGAUGCAGCGACGCCGCGUGAGUGAAGAAGUACUUCGGUAUGUAAAGCUCUAUCAGCAGGGAAGAAAAUGACGGUACCUGAGUAAGAAGCCCCGGCUAACUACGUG
rnacentral:rRNA from 1 species